rnacentral:tRNA from 1 species
GGGGUUAUAGCUCAGCUGGGAGAGCGCUUGCAUGGCAUGCAAGAGGCCCGCGGUUCGAUCCCGCGUAGCUCCACCA